rnacentral:rRNA from 1 species
GAUGAACGCUAGCGGCAGGCCUAACACAUGCAAGUCGAGGGGUAGAACACUUCGGUGUUUGAGACCGGCGCACGGGUGCGUAACGCGUAUGCAAUCUACCUUAUACAGGGGAAUAGCCCAGAGAAAUUUGGAUUAAUGCCCCAUAGCAUUACGACUUGGCAUCAAGAUGUAAUUAAAGUUCCAACGGUAUAAGAUGAGCAUGCGUCCCAUUAGUUAGUUGGUAAGGUAACGGCUUACCAAGACGAUGAUGGGUAGGGGUCCUGAGAGGGGGAUCCCCCACACUGGUACUGGGACACGGACCAGACUCCUGCGGGAGGCAGCAGUGAGGAAUAUUGGUCAAUGGUCGCAAGACUGAACCAGCCAUGCCGCGUGCAGGAAGACGGUCCUAUGGAUUGUAAACUGCUUUUAUACAGGAAGAAACCCUCCCACGUGUGGGAGCUUGACGGUACUGUAGGAAUAAGGAUCGGCUAACUCCGUGCCAGCCGCCGCAGUAA